CCAGACAUACGCCCAGCCCACCUCCAGCCCACCCAGUGACGCCCCACCUCCAACUCACCUGGUGACGUGCCGUUGCCGGGGGAGAGACGGAGAGCAGCGGGAGGCAACCUGCGAGCUUCAGUGUUGCCCCUUCGUGUGUGGCUGAGGGGCCGGUGAAGCUUCACCUGCCGCUGCAAAUGCAGGUCGGUGCUGGUCUCCAGCGGAUUCAGCAACGGGAUGCAUGAAAUGCAUCGGUCGCAGGAAGUUUGAAGAGUAAACUGUAUAAUGAUACACACAACAGUAAAUACAACGACGAGCGCAACAACCGCAGACUGGGGGAGAGAUUGCCAUUUGAAGUACUGCAUCAAAAUAUAUUAAAAGUGACCACAAAGGAAUAAUCGAGAGAGAUCGAGUGAAGAGUACGGGGCAGCGCUCACCUGCCGCCCGAACCUCCUGUUUCUCACCGAGCCCGCCCCCGCCCGAAUCUAUCAACCGGGGAGUGUUUGCAGAGAGCCCUCGCUGGAUAAACAGUGGUGUGCAUCUCUCUGGGAACAAAAUACAACACCAAGCACCACUCCCUGAAUGUCUGAACAACAACACUGAAAAUACAUUCACUGAUGCCACAACUGCAGAAACCCAGUGGUGACGAAGAAGUUUGAUGAGGACAGGCUGGUAAAAGUUGUCCACAUGGCUUUUGGCAAGGCCCUGA